rnacentral:lncRNA from 1 species
AUAAAUGGCACAGUGUUCCUGUUCAUCAGCAUUGGGAUAUUCUUCGUGGUGCUGGAUGCAUGCUCAGGAGCAGUCUUUGACACAGUUACCAGUGAAAACUGCCCCUGCAAUAACUGAGUAUGUUCAAACAUCCAUAAAUGAGAGAUCACUUGUCCUCGUGUGCUCUAGAAAUAUCACAGACAUGCUGGGCAGCUCUGAAAUGUCUGUUUUUCUCAGGUUUGGUUCAGCAAAGCCUAUUAUCUUCCACAAGGGAGAUAAAUCUAUUUAUUCUAUCAUGUUUAUUUGUAUUUUUAUUGCUUUUCAUGUUUCUUUGGCUUUUAAUUAG